rnacentral:misc_RNA from 1 species
UUUCCGUAGGUGAACCUGCGGAAGGAUCAUUACUGAGUGAGGGCCCCUCGGGGUCCAACCUCCCACCCGUGUUUAACGAACCUUGUUGCUUCGGCGGGCCCGCCUCACGGCCGCCGGGGGGCACCUGCCCCCGGGCCCGCGCCCGCCGAAGCCACCUGUGAACGCUGUCUGAAGUAUGCAGUCUGAGACAAUUAUUAAAUUAAUUAAAACUUUCAACAACGGAUCUCUUGGUUCCGGCAUCGAUGAAGAACGAGC